rnacentral:rRNA from 1 species
UAAGGGAUUCCCCUAGUAGCGGCGAGCGAAGCGGGAAGAGCUCAAAUUUAUAAUCUGGCACCUUCGGUGUCCGAGUUGUAAUCUCUAGAAAUGUUUUCCGCGUUGGACCGCACACAAGUCUGUUGGAAUACAGCGGCAUAGUGGUGAGACCCCCGUAUAUGGUGCGGACGCCCAGCGCUUUGUGAUACAUUUUCGAAGAGUCGAGUUGUUUGGGAAUGCAGCUCAAAUUGGGUGGUAAAUUCCAUCUAAAGCUAAAUAUUGGCGAGAGACCGAUAGCGAACAAGUACCGUGAGGGAAAGAUGAAAAGCACUUUGGAAAGAGAGUUAACAGUACGUGAAAUUGUUGGAAGGGAAACGCUUGAAGUCAGACUUGCUUGCCGAGCAAUCGGUUUGCAGGCCAGCAUCAGUUUUCCGGGAUGGAUAAUGGUAGAGAGAAGGUAGCAGUUUCGGCUGUGUUAUAGCUCUCUGCUGGAUACAUCUUGGGGGACUGAGGAACGCAGUGUGCCUUUGGCGGGGGUUUCGACCUCUUCACACUUAGGAUGCUGGUGGAAUGGCUUUAAACGACCCGUCUUGAAACCACGGAGCACACCAG